UCCUUCUCCGGGCCUUGCUUUCUCCUCAUCUUCUUUGCUUCCUUUGUCUUCUUCCAGUGCGCACUUGGGGUGGAGAUUGAAAUCACAUUCUUCACAAUAGAAUGACCACAAGUGUCCCUGCUUCUCACACCCAUUACAUCUAUAAAUGCCACGCUUAGUGAGCACAAGCUCAUGCUCUUCAUGAAGGGCAUGUUUCAUCUUCUCAGGCCACCCCUUUGCCAUCUCAUACUGCGCCUCGAUCUCCUUUAUAUGUUCUUCAGUGAAAGGAUAAGCAUCAGCCCCAUGAAUCAUAACAAGAGUUCUGGCUUCUGUUGUCACUGUCCGGCCAGUUGGUUCAACGGCUAUGAGCUUGGGGAUGCUCCUGACCUUGAAGGUGCGACCCAAGGAAGCUUUCCUUUUGUCCCCAAAGGGAAGUGCCAGCCAUGGCAUACCUGAAAAGAAUUCAUCAAAGGAGGCCUGAUCCCUGUCACUAGAGAUGAAAAUCACUUCGAAUGCUUCAUCCUUUGCCUUAAUAUUCUGGUAUGCUUCUAUAAGUUUUGGUAGGAAAGCGCGGCAUGGGGGGCACCAAUGUGCUGAGAAAUAUAGGAGGAUGUUCUUCCCCACUAGAUCAGACACGGGAAUCUGAAACAAGAGCAAUUUGUCACUGAUAACAAGCAUAAUAAGGGAGAGUAUUGCAAACUGAAAAAAGGGACACAGGGCACCAUGUUGCAUCGAACAACAUCACCUUUUAACCAAGAUCCAAAAGCAGAUGUUCACGCAUCUACUGAAAGAAGAUCUUACCUUGACUCUAUCUUUCCCGAUCACAAAGUCUCUGUUCCCUGAAACCAAAAUUGACUCCAGUGUCUGUGCUUCCCGUUUUGCCUUCUCAAUCUCCUCAAGCUCUGCAAACUUCUCUGGGGUAAAAGGGUAUGCCUGAAUCCCAUGUUCUUGGAUUGCCUCGGCAACAUUGGAGUGAAGAGUCUUUCCAUCUGGCCCAAUAACAACCAAAGUGGGCAGGGCUGAGAGCUCAAAGUAGCGAGCUAGUUUCUUACAGCUCCUGUCCUUGAAGGGCAAUGCAAGCCAAGGCAUGCUACCAAAAUUUGUUUUGAAUGAUUCUAUCUCAUCAUCAAGCGAUAUCAUGACAAUUUCAAAGCUCUCCCCCUUCGCCCUUAAUUUCUUAUAAACAUCCACUAGCGUUCGAGUAAAUUGAAGGCGUGGCUUGGAGGAAGACAAUGAGAAAUACAGUCCAACGAACUUCCCUUCUAGUUCAGACACAGGCACCUUGUAUUGAAAUAGUUUAAGAAGAAAUUCAGACCAGGAAGAAACAAUAUGAAUCAUGUUCAAAUUUAUAGAUGCGAGAAUAACUAUUUCUUGAACAAAAAGCACUGUCAAUGAAAUUCACCCUCUUUCCAUCAGUUGAAAUUACAUAGUCGCGGGAUUGUGAGACUAAGAUGGAUAUCAAGGAUUGUUCCUUCUUGGCCGUUUCUUCCUUUUCCUUCAGUUCUUUGAUCUUUUCAGCUGUGAAAGGAUACCCUUCCACUCCAUAAUCUUUUAUGAUCUCAACUCCCUCACUGCUCAAAACCUUGCCAGAUUCAUCAAGCAUCGCAAGGCUUGGAAUCCCCCUCACCUUGAACAAUUUCUUCAAGUGAUCACGCGUGUCCGAAUCAGAAAAUGGGAUUGCAAGCCAGGGCAUCUUGGAGAAAUAUUCAUUGAACAACUGAUCGCCUUUGUCACGUGAAACAAAGAUGAUUUCAAAAUCGCCUUUGGAGGAGAAUUCAUCGUACACCUCUACUAAUUCAGGGGUGAAUUGCCGACGUGGUCCACACCAUGAUGCUGAAAAAUAUAGCCAAAUUUUCUUCCCCUUUAAACUCUCAACUUUAACCUGCAAAACACAGAAUUUAGCCGAUGAACUCCCUUCUGGAUCACUCUAAAAGCAAUUAAUGCUAUUAGGCCAAUUGAACUUUUUGCUGCUUAAGACUCUGUUAACAAUAGUCACAACUCUUCUGUGAUUUAAGCGUUGGUGGGUGUUGGACUCUUGGUUAAUUGGGGGCGUCCAGCUCCUUUUUUCAUUCGAAACUCUUAGUUCCACUCAAGCUUCUUUUUAUGGUAGAAUAAAAGCAGAGAAGAUGGAAAAUACCUGGUGGCCAUUGCAGCGGACAAGAAAGUCCCGAUCCUCUCUUGUGAGAAGCGGAACCAAAUCGUGAGCAACGCCAUCAACGUUUUCGCUAGCCAUGUCUUCUGAUUUUGAUCACAAUUUUUUUAGCCUGUGCCUUUGCACUUUGGUGCCCAGCUUCUAUAGCAUCUAAGUCGGUUAGACCUAAGCCAUCCAGAAGCCUUAGGGGUGAAGAAAACCAAAGUCUACGUAUGUGGUGUACGUAGAUGCCCAACGUCAGCGCGGGCCGCGGUCCCCUCUAGGGAAAAAGACAUAAGUUGCGUGGCUGCAUAUUGUAAUGGUUGUCAUUUAAUAUGAAUGUACUACAAUUUUGAAAGUUUAGGUAAGGAAAUAAGUACUGAAGAAAGACUUGCGGGUUCUCUACUCUAUCUCAUGAGCUUGUAUUCCUGAGGACAAUGACCCACAUCCUCCCUUUUCACCUCAUUAGACCCCAUUAAAACAUAACUUAUUGGUAUCAUCUGGAGCUUCGGAGCAUUGUUCAAAGUAGCUCCAUUUCUUUCUCCCCCCACUUUAAAUGAGUUUGAAACAGUAAUUUCAAUUAAAAUUAGAAACCAUAAUUUUAGAAUACGACUAGAACUGCAGUUUUAAGGCGCAAAACUUUACAAGUCAUAGCUUCUAGAUGUAAAUAUAAUAUAUUGGCCAAAAAGUCCACAUGAAGCAAAACUACUUUUCAUAUAUGUUUACAUUUUAAAUACUUUUAGAAUCUAAUUCCAAGUAAAUUGAUAGACUUUACUGAAUUUCUUUGAAAGAAAAGUUUGUCCAAAUAAAUUUAUCAAAGUUAAAAAUCGAGAAAAAUUAUUUUGAGUAUCAUUAAUAUAAAAACAACAAAUUUACCAUGUUUUGUCUUAUAUUUUGAAACUUUUAAAAAUGAUAUGUUUUUUAUAUUUAGUGAAAUUUUUGCAUAGCUAAGAUAACAUAUAGGACAUUUGAAAACUCUCAAUUAGGCCAUGUUAUCUAAACCUUUAAAAGAAGUAAAAUUUUAAAUUCAAAAAUUACAAAAUAAAGUAUUAUGCUAUUGUUAUUAUUUGGAAAUAUAUAUUUAAAUAAAAAAAUUUGUCGUUACUUGUACAUUAAAAUUAAAAUUUUUGAAUAUGAAAAUAAAUGAUUAACGUACCAUAUUACACAUUAUAUUAUUAUCCUUUAAUUUACAUUUCAAAUUCUAGAUUUAUGGGUUAAUCCCAUUGUAUUAUAACUAAACCAUAGUUCAAGAAAUUGGGGUGUGAUAGCAACAUAGGUACAAAGUUGACAAAGCCUAUAACCAAACACUUGAUAUCUAUUAUAGUAACCUUGAAUAAAAGGACUUGCUAGAAAGAUGGUGAGUUGGCUACUCAUCUUGAUCGAAUGUGAAAUCGCUAUCUCAAAUAGGUAAAAUAUAAAGCCACUAAGACAAUGAUAGACAAAGGAAGUUGAUUUAGAAAAAUAUAAAGACAAAGAUAAAAGUAUUGGAAGUACUAGGUGUGGGGACUCCUCUCCACGUGUCACAUUUCCUCGGUAUUGCUCGGAUAACUGCCACAGUGUUCGGAACCUUCCAUCCGAACCACACAGACAUAUGGCAAAUGGCAUCGGACUCUCUAAGUGGACGACACUUUCCAGCCAGCCUUUAAGUCCCCCUUGCUACAUGUAAUCAUUUCCAUCUAACAUGGAAGUGGUUGAUGGGAUCUCCCCCAAUCCUCACAUCCAUGUCAAUUAAUUAUCACGCACUACCCCAUACCUCCAGCAAGUUGAAGGGACGGACAAGUGCAUGAUUUAACAUCAUGACACAACUUCUAAUGGCACUUGCAGGCUGCCCAAAAUUGUAAUGAUUGCCUUACUACCUACAGGGCAACCAUCAUUAUAGAGAAGGUCAAAGUGUUUAGUUAACACUACAGUAGCUUUCUUCUAAGCACUAUAAAAAGUUCCCCCUGAAGCAUAAUUUAGGUACAUGCACUAGAACUGACCCACUCAUUCUCUCCCUGAAAGAGUUUGACUUGUCUUUGUCUAACUUAAGUUUCGGAGGGGCGUGCUCGGACCACUUGUCCGAACAUCCUUUGUGUAGGGAAUAAGCUAUCACCUAGUUUCCCAUCAUUAGGCAAGAGCUCUGAGGGGCACAACUCAAGGAGGAUCUAACCUCAGUUGACCCUGCAUCAACACUACGAUUUAUGGCUUUAUUAAAAUUUAAAAUGAAUAAAAAAGGCUCAAAAGAAUUACAUUUCUAAAAACAUAUAUAAAAGAAAGUUGCUCAGUUGGAUGCCGUAUAGUUUGCCCUCUAUUAUUGAGUCUACCUCAAGAGUUAGACAAUCAGACUUCUCACCAAAAAAACAUUAGAGAGUUAUGAUGCGAAAGUCUAAGGAUAAUAUCUUUACAAUAAAAUAUUUUUAAAUAAAAUUUAACAACAAACUUAACUUGAGAAAGCCUUAUAUGAACUAUGAUAACAUACUUGAAAUAUUUUAAUAGAAACAUACAAUCAACAUCAAUAUAAAUGUUUGCAAUCACAUGAAUUAUGGAAAUGUAUUAUCAAUUAUGCUCCUUAAUUUGAUCAUAUCACAACUAGUUAAAUUGAAAUAAUUGGUUGCCAUGACACCCAUCCAUUUCAACAUGAUUAUUAGAUAAAUAGACAUAAUUACCAUACUGACCAUCUCACGACAUAAAGAUCUACAUAGAAAAAAUAAAAGGGCAAGAUAACAUUUCAUGUAAAUUUGUUCAUAUUUCAUAAUAACCAUAAUUCAUAAUCAUGGUAAAAUAAUAUCUUCAAAAUGGACUAUUGUACUAUUGGGAUUGAACCUCUAAAAACAAAACAUAAUGUAAUAAAGUUAGACUUCAUUAUCACUAGGUUAUUCAUUUUCUUUCAUUGACAUUGAUUUGAGGAUUCAACUUAUAUCUCUUACAUUGUAUAUGACUUGGAUGUAUUAAAAGUUGUACGGAUGAUACAAAUCAUAGGUUCUUUGUUAGUAGAUAAGUUGUUCAUAGCCAGUUCAUGGAUUUAGGCAAUCUAAUAAAGACAUAGUGUACUACCUUCUAAUUGGAAGGAUGACUUGUCUUGACCAUCAAGAUGUAUUUCCUAUAGUGAGUGCACUACUGUAUGCGAUGCACAUUGGACAAAACCUAUAGUGAAUCAUGAUAUAAGGCUAUCGAUUGUCAUGAUUCACCAAAUUACUAUACUACAUGGACUCUCAACCUUAAGAGGAUAUUAAGUUUAUGUUAAAGUCAACAGGAGACUUUGGCCUAUGGAUAAGUGUAGACUCUCUAUUUUGUCAUCUUAGCAAUAUUCCAUCUAGGAUUGCCUUCCUACAUCCCUUGAUGUCCUAUUGUACACUUAUGGAAAUUUUCUGAGCUAUUUUUUAGUCUUGAUUGGUGGUCCAAUGUGACUUUUUGGUCACUAUCUUUGGAAAUAUAUUAGGGAAUUUUUUAGGGAUCCUCAAUGUGACUGCUUUGUGACCUUUGAUAUUUUAGGAUUUUGUUUGAUUGAGUUUCUUUUAGUAUAUUAAGAUAUGACAUCUAGUUUUAGGAUUAGAUGAGUUUGAGUUUUUUUUUUGUUGUGUGAGGGCUAUUUGAUUGCAUGAGAUUUGGCUUUCGAUCUUUGGUUACAUAUGAGUGGUACUCUAAUUUGUGAUUUUAUGAGUUUUGAUUUUGAAAUGUGAAAAUUAAUUUUGGUCUAUUUUAUGAUUUUGGUCCUUGAAUUUCAAGUUGCAUGAGUUUUGUUUUUUUGUUUUCCUUUUCUUCCUCUUAAUUUUGUGUGGCAUGAAGAUUAACCAUUGAACUUUAUAUAAGUAAUUUUUUUAGAUAAUAGUGGAUCAUUGGCAUAUUUAUUUACAUUUUUUGUGAGGUCAUAAGAAAUGAAGGUUGGCGAGGACUAUACAACAAACUUAAGUCUUCCUUGCUUGGAAUUGCUGCUUCAUGGGUGACUAACAAAAGGAUCAUUAUGGUUUUUCAAGUUGGAUGUGGAACAUGGAUCAAAAGGAGAGUCAAACUUGAAAAUCAUAUCACCAUACAUUUGGAGAAGGGAAAGGACUUCAGCCAGGAGGAUCAUGUGGCAUUAAAGGCUUCUCCAUUAUGCCAUCACGUGUCAACCAUGAAAGAGGAUUCCAUUAAAAGGAAUCAACUAGGGUCACUUGCAUGCAUUAGGGGUGUACAUCACAACCUCACAAGAUCUUUAUUCAGGGGUUCUAGAAAUCUCCAGGAGCUUCAAGAGGAUCAAGGAAGAGUCACACAAUUGGAGUGGAUGAGGUCGUGCAUUAGGAGAGAGUUCUCGGGAGCAUGCAUUUGAACCAUUUCUUCGAUUUUUUGAGGGAAGCUACAACUGUCUUGAGAGGAUUUUGGAGGUUUCAUUUAUUGUUAGAGAAGGAUAAUGAACUAAACAUUUUUCUUCUAGGGUUCUAGGAGGAUUAGGGGCUUCUGAUAAUUGUCCAACUUUGUAGCUUACCAUCUUCACACCGACAUUUUUGAGGAAGAUCUCCAUUGAUGCAUAUUGGUUCUGGAGAGCUUCAACAGAGAAUAUGUCAUUCUUUGUAAUAGUGAGCACCAUUUUUUUCAUAGAUGAACAUCACAUACAUCUCCAUAAUGACAUUGAUAAGAGAAUCAUCAGAGAUGUCAUAGCUUGAGGUCAUGAAUUUCUACAUCGAAUCAUCACCAUUACGCGAUGACAAUUAGAGAAAGCAAUCACCGAUCUUGGGAGAAAAUUAUAUUUGCUUCUUCUAACAACUUGUAACGCCUCAAAUUCUUGGGAACCCAACAUUUGAAUCAUGACCCUAGGUCAAAUGUUUGACCCUAAGGAUUACUCCCAUCCAUGCUGACAGUCAAUUCUGAUAACUUGAUUUUUCUUGAAUAAAUAAACAUCUAAUCCCAAAUAAAUUUAUUAAGUUAAGAUAUACUAUAUGAUUUUUUUUUUUCCUAAACCAACCAUCACCUUUUCAGAAGUACAAUAAAUCCACCUAUUAAUCUUACUGUCCAAGAUGAUAACCCAAAUAUUUACACUAGUCUCUAAGCAAAAAAAUAUUUCUAAAAAUAUUUUACGAACUAACAAAGUAUAAUUUAAGUUAUAAAAGUUCAUAUAACUCAAAUUAGUACAUGCCAAAAGGUAAUAUAAAUUAAAAACAACCGUUAUUAUUAUUAUUAUUAUUAUUAUUAUUAUUUACUUUCUGAGACUUUUUGGAACAUUUUUUGAUCUUCUUGUGGUUCCUAAAAAACUAUAUCUGCACCUAAAAAUUUUAGAAAAUAAAGAGGUGAACAUUUUUACAUUGCUCAGUAGGGUGUUUUAUACCCAAAUGAGCUAGAAAUUCUAAGUCAAUAAAAUACAAUUAUAUGUCAAACUAUAAUAUUACAUUUACAUUAUAUACAUUAAAUGAAACAUCAACCAUACAAAUUUAAACUGAUCAAAAUUAUCACUUUUUUUAUUCAAUCAUAUGUCUAGCAUAUCAACAAUUCUAAAUUUACAAAAUAAAUUAGUCAUUUUAGUCUCGAAUAAUAUAUUCAAACAUACAAUUGAUAAAUAAUACAAAUCCUUCUUUCAAAUGUAAUCAUGAUGCAAAUGCUUACACGUAAUCAAACAAUGUGUUGUUGUUCUCGGGCCUUCACCAAAGAAUACGCAUUUCUACCCAAAUACACUCCCUAUUCGAAGCUUUUUUGGGGUAAACUUUUAGAUAUUUUACCUUAGGGAUUUCAUCUCCUUUUUAAUUCGCUCUUUCUAGGGUCCUUCCAUUUCUCAUUUUUUAUUUUCUUUUCAUUUUUGCCAUUUUCGGGGUCUUUUCAUUCUUGUUUCCAUUUCACACAACCAUUUCUUCAAUUUUUUUUUCUUUCGCACGCUCAUGAUGCAUAUGAAAUACAAUAAACUCACAUGUUAUCAUCCACAAUUUCCCAAGAUAUAAUUUUAUUUACUCCAAACAUGCUCAAUAAUUUCCAAUAAUCAACACAACCAUUUUUCUUUAGUUAAAUCACCACAAACCUCUAAAUAAUAAUAAUAAUAAUAAUAAAUUAAUCAUAAUAGUAACCAUAUUCCAAAUAGCAUAAAGAACAAUCCAAAAAGCAUGUUGUGGACCCCACAUUUGCUUAAUGUGUUCCCACUAGAUGGCGAAAACUUGCUUUUUUAUUUUGUUUCGUGAAAAUUUGAUUUUUAGAAAAAGACUUGGAGUCGCCACUUAAUUUUGUUUUAUUUUUAAAGAAAAAAACAAAAUAAGAAAGAAAAACCCUAAGUGUAACUCCUGAAGGAAAAAACGGGUCUGUGAAAAACCAAGUCUAGGUACCCUGUCAGGUUACUUAUUGGGAAGGUACGGUGGUGAGCCGUAGCACCCUUCUAAGCCCGCGUAUGUACGACCUCUACUAAACGAAUUGAGAAAAUUGUGGCAAUUAAUUAAUUAAUUAUGGAUACCAAGAAAAAUAAUCAAUAUACAAGUCAUGGUGAAAAUUAAUAUGCACAAAAACAAUGAUGAAAUCUAAUUACAAAAAUAUACAAAAUAAAUAAUAAGAGGAUUAUGCAAAAUGAUUUAUUGAAUUAAAUAAAUAAAAGAUAUUUAAAAAAAGUUUUAAAGAAAUUUCAAAGGAUUCUAUUGAAAAUGAUUUUGAAUUAGUGAUUUCCAUUUAUUUACUUAUAAAAAAAUCAAUUUAUUCUCUCAAUUUUAGUUGUAUUCAAUUAAAAAAAAAAACUAUUUACACUUAUUGUAUCAAAAGAAUUUAUUACAAAAUUUCAAUUUGAGCACAAAAAUUAUUUUUACUUGCUUUUACUAGAAAAUAUUGAGUUUUUACAAUUUUAUUUACAAAAAUAUUUAGAUUCAUUUUCAUUUAAAAGAGUGAUUUUUUAUAAAUUAUUUAAAAUGACACAACUUUAUUUGCAAAAGAAAUUUUAAUUAAAAGGAAAAACAAAGAUUUAAAUUCUCUAUUUCUAAAAAACACUUUUAAUCUCGUUUUAAUUAAGGAAAAAAAAGAAUUCGUUUAAAAAAAAUAUUUUUAGACAAUUUUACUAAAAAUUAAUUUUUGGGACAUCUUUAUUUACAAAACAAUUUUUGGACAAUUUUUAUUAAACAAAGAAGUUUUUUUUAACAGUGUCAUUAAAAACAAUUUUUUUGGAUUUUUCUAAAUGUUUUUUUUUUUCUGAAUUUUCAUAAAAAAAACUUUCUUUUAUUAAAAAUGAUAUUUUGAAAUUAGUAUUUUAUUAGAACAUAUUUACUGAAUUCUUCCUCCCAUUUAAACAAAAUUUCUAAUUUGUUCGAUAUUCAAUUCUGUACACACUCAAUAAAUAUAAAUGAACAAAUAUUUACAAGAGUUAAUUAAAAUAAAACCAAAUAAAAGUGGUAAACAAAAUAUGUACCCAAACAAACUUACAACAAGCUCCACGUGUUAUCAAUUCGUACUCAGCCAACCAGAUUCCAGAAUGAGUCAAUGCAAAAGCAAAAACAGCGCAAAUGUAAAUAUCUAGAUAUGUAUAAAAUCCCAAACAAAUAUUCAAACCUAAAUCCCAAUUUCAAAUUAGUCCCAUAAAUUUUGUCAAUUUAAAAUGAGCCCAAAUUACUAUAGGUCUUAACGCGGAACAUCCAAAUUAAUAAUAAAAAAUACAAACAUAAUCAACCAAACUUAAAAUUUGAUAAAUUAAAAUAAAUUCUACUAGACCUAAAUUUAAUAUUUUAUAAUCUAAGUCUAAUUUAAUAUACACCACAAUUGUCCUAUGUCCAAAUUAAACAAUUCAAAUUGGCCAAGCCUAUAUCAAAUAUUCAAAUAAUCCAACAAAUCCCACCCAUAUUAUGGCCCCAAAAUCCACAUCAAUUAAUAAGUCCACAUAAAAAAAAAUACAUGAUCAAGAGCAUGGAUUGAAAAAUCGGAAAAUGUCGCCGAUAUUUCGUCGAAAUAUCGGUUAUCGGGCGGCAUGGAAACGAUAAACGGCACCGAUUAUCGAUCGACGGAAAAAUCGGCCAAAAAUCGACAAAAUCUCCGAUAUAUCGGCGAAAUAUCGGUGAAGCACCGAAAAAUUGGAGAAAAAUCGCGAUAUUUCCUACCAGUCCAGCCCGCGCAGUUGUGUUUUUCAGCCUGGCUCAAAAAUCGUGGAUUUAGGGUUCGUGAAAUUUAAAUCCAAUGGCACAACAGCAAAGAGACCCCUAAAACAGAUCCAGAAAACACAGGGAGCAAAAGAAAAGCAAUUUUUUUGGUUUUCUUUGGGAGUUUUGAAUGGAUUUUCUCGGAAAUCAAACGAGGAUGAAUUUUCCCGGAAAUCGAAUGGGGAUGGAUUUUCUUGGGAAUCAAAUGGGGGUUGCAAAAAAAAAAAAAAAUAAUAACAUGAUUAGAUUAGUACCUGCGAGGAUUGAGAUUUGAGAGUAGCAGAGGAAAAUAGGGCUUUUUAGGGAUUCUCUCGCUGGAAGACACCUUCAGAAAAGGGUUCUUGAUGCCCGAGAGAGAAGUGGGUGCCUUUUUUAUUUUUUUUUAUUUUUAGAUUUAGGGGAGAUAAAAAAAUAAAAAAUAAAAAAUAAAAAAAACAUGAGAACAAUUUUCUAUAAAUAAUUAUUAAUUUUCAACUUUUAUUUGGAUUAUUAAAUAAAUUUAUAUUAAUAAAAAAAGUUGUUAUCACAUUUUUUAAUAAAUUUUAAAAAUUAAAUCUCAAAUAAGAUAUUUUAUAUAAAUUAANNNNNNNNNNNNNNNNNNNNNNNNNNNNNNNNNNNNNNNNNNNNNNNNNNNNNNNNNNNNNNNNNNNNNNNNNNNNNNNNNNNNNNNNNNNNNNNNNNNNNNNNNNNNNNNNNNNNNNNNNNNNNNNNNNNNNNNNNNNNNNNNNNNNNNNNNNNNNNNNNNNNNNNNNNNNNNNNNNNNNNNNNNNNNNNNNNNNNNNNNNNNNNNNNNNNNNNNNNNNNNNNNNNNNNNNNNNNNNNNNNNNNNNNNNNNNNNNNNNNNNNNNNNNNNNNNNNNNNNNNNNNNNNNNNNNNNNNNNNNNNNNNNNNNNNNNNNNNNNNNNNNNNNNNNNNNNNNNNNNNNNNNNNNNNNNNNNNNNNNNNNNNNNNNNNNNNNNNNNNNNNNNNNNNNNNNNNNNNNNNNNNNNNNNNNNNNNNNNNNNNNNNNNNNNNNNNNNNNNNNNNNNNNNNNNNNNNNNNNNNNNNNNNNNNNNNNNNNNNNNNNNNNNNNNNNNNNNNNNNNNNNNNNNNNNNNNNNNNNNNNNNNNNNNNNNNNNNNNNNNNNNNNNNNNNNNNNNNNNNNNNNNNNNNNNNNNNNNNNNNNNNNNNNNNNNNNNNNNNNNNNNNNNNNNNNNNNNNNNNNNNNNNNNNNNNNNNNNNNNNNNNNNNNNNNNNNNNNNNNNNNNNNNNNNNNNNNNNNNNNNNNNNNNNNNNNNNNNNNNNNNNNNNNNNNNNNNNNNNNNNNNNNNNNNNNNNNNNNNNNNNNNNNNNNNNNNNNNNNNNNNNNNNNNNNNNNNNNNNNNNNNNNNNNNNNNNNNNNNNNNNNNNNNNNNNNNNNNNNNNNNNNNNNNNNNNNNNNNNNNNNNNNNNNNNNNNNNNNNNNNNNNNNNNNNNNNNNNNNNNNNNNNNNNNNNNNNNNNNNNNNNNNNNNNNNNNNNNNNNNNNNNNNNNNNNNNNNNNNNNNNNNNNNNNNNNNNNNNNNNNNNNNNNNNNNNNNNNNNNNNNNNNNNNNNNNNNNNNNNNNNNNNNNNNNNNNNNNNNNNNNNNNNNNNNNNNNNNNNNNNNNNNNNNNNNNNNNNNNNNNNNNNNNNNNNNNNNNNNNNNNNNNNNNNNNNNNNNNNNNNNNNNNNNNNNNNNNNNNNNNNNNNNNNNNNNNNNNNNNNNNNNNNNNNNNNNNNNNNNNNNNNNNNNNNNNNNNNNNNNNNNNNNNNNNNNNNNNNNNNNNNNNNNNNNNNNNNNNNNNNNNNNNNNNNNNNNNNNNNNNNNNNNNNNNNNNNNNNNNNNNNNNNNNNNNNNNNNNNNNNNNNNNNNNNNNNNNNNNNNNNNNNNNNNNNNNNNNNNNNNNNNNNNNNNNNNNNNNNNNNNNNNNNNNNNNNNNNNNNNNNNNNNNNNNNNNNNNNNNNNNNNNNNNNNNNNNNNNNNNNNNNNNNNNNNNNNNNNNNNNNNNNNNNNNNNNNNNNNNNNNNNNNNNNNNNNNNNNNNNNNNNNNNNNNNNNNNNNNNNNNNNNNNNNNNNNNNNNNNNNNNNNNNNNNNNNNNNNNNNNNNNNNNNNNNNNNNNNNNNNNNNNNNNNNNNNNNNNNNNNNNNNNNNNNNNNNNNNNNNNNNNNNNNNNNNNNNNNNNNNNNNNNNNNNNNNNNNNNNNNNNNNNNNNNNNNNNNNNNNNNUCCUCAUCAUCAAGUGAUAUCAUGACAAUUUCAAAGCUCUCCCCCUUUGCCCUUAAUUUCUCGUAAACAUCCACUAGCGUUGGAGUAAAUUCAAGGCAUGCCUUGUAGGAAGACAAUGAGAAAAACAGCCCAACGAACUUCCCUUCUAGUUCAGACACAGGCACCUUGUAUUGAAAUAGUUCAAGAAAAAAUUCAGACCAGGAAGAAACAAUAUAAAUCAUGUUCAAAUUCGUAGAUAUGAGAAUAUAUAUUUCUUAAAUAACUCACCUUCUUUCCAUCAGUUGAAAUUACAUAGUCACGGGACUGAGAGACUAAGAUGGAUCUCAAGGAUUGUUCCUUCCUGGCUGUUUCUUCCUUCUCUUUCAUUUCUUUGAUCUUUUCAGGAGUGAAAGGAUAAGCUUCCACUCCAUACUCUUGUAUGAUAUCAACCCCAUCUUCGCUCAAAACCUUGCCAGAUUCAUCAAGCAUCACAAGGUUUGGAAUCCCCAUCACCUUGAACAGUUCAUUCAACUGAUCUCGUGCAUCUGAAUCAGAAAAUGGGAUUGCGAGCCAAGGCAUCUUGGAGAAAUAUCCAUGGAACGACUCAUCAUCAUUAUCACCUGAAACAAAGAUGAUUUCAAAAUCAUCGUUGGAGGAGAGUUCAUUGUAGGCCUCAACUAAUUUAGGGGUGAACCGCCGACAUGGCCCACACCAUGAUGCUGAAAAAUAUAGCCAAAUUUUCUUCCCCUUCAAACUCUCAACUUUAACCUGCAAAACACAGAAUUUAGGCCCAUUAAACCCUUUGCUGCUCAAAACUGUUAACAAUAGUUACGACUCUUGGUUAAUUGGGUCCGGCUUCUUUUUCCCCCCUUAAUCAGAACCUGUUUCAGCUCCUUUUUCAUUAGAAACGCAUAGUUCCUUUCAAGCUUUCUUUUACGGUAGAAUAAAAACAGAGAAGAUGGGAAAUACCUGGUGGCCAUUGUUGCGGACAAGAAAGUCCCGAUCCUCUCUUGUGAGAAGCGAAACCAAAUCGUGAGCAACGCCAUCAACGUUUUCGCUAUCCAUGUCUUCUGAUUUUGAUCACAAAUUUUUAGCCUGUGCCUUUGCACUUUGGUGCCCAGCUUUUAUAGCAUCUAAGUCGAAUAGGAUUAAGCCAUCCAGCAGCCUUAAGAGUGAAGAAAACCAAAGUUGACGUUGGUGGUGUACGUCAGAUGCCCAACGUCAGAUGCCCAACGUCAGCGUGGGCCGCGGUCCCCUCUAGGGAAAAAGUUUAGAUAAGGAGAUAAGUAUUGAAGAAAGACGUGUUUUUUCAUCCGACCUCAUGAGCUUGUGUUCCUGAUGACAAAGACCCACAGUCCGUCUUUCACCUCAUUAGACCCCAUUAAAACAUAAACGAAAAGAAAAAACUGAGAAGCAUCUUGGAAGAUGCCCAUGAAAAGUGGCACGAACUUAUUUAAUUGCUCUCAUGGGUAAGAAUGAAAAGAUUUUUAGUUAUUAUUUUAUAGUUCUUUUACUCAAGUAAUUGAGCUUAGAUUGAGCAUAAUGCUCCGUACCUUGUUAGCAUAAAUUUUCAUUUCUUAAUAAUUAAACAAAGAUAUUUUCUGUUUGAAAAAACUUAAGCUUGAUCUAUGCAAGAACACAAACAUUUAAAGAUAUGACUCUGUUGGAUCAUAUAGAAUACACAUAUUUUACUGCCCUAGGUAAAUCUUUAUGAUCUAAGGAGGACUUCCGAGCAAAGUACCUUUCACUCGGCUUUGGUUGGAGCAAUGAGUGGUCAGGGAAAGUUGAUGGAAUCUCACAUCUCUCCUUGACCUAUAGUUGGUUUUGACAAUGAACCUUGGAUGGAAAGUUUUGGUAUAAAAGUUAAAAACAUCAUCUUGCCAGCGCAUCCUUUCCUGGUGGGGAAUUGAACCUGGACUCAUGGUUAACAAAAUGAGUAGUACACCACUAUGCCAAACAACAUUUAAUUAAUAAUUUGGUAAAUAUCUAUAGAUCUGUUUUUUUAAAUUUUUAUCACAUAAAACAUUUAAACAAAUAUAAAUAUUUAUAUCUACUAUUAUUUUUAUAAUAAUGAUUAAUUAUAAGCAUGAAAAUAAUAUAAAUUAAUCAAUAUAAUAAUUUAUUAAAAUAUAAAUUAUAUAUUUAUGAUGUUACUUAUUUGACCGUGAUUUGACCAUUACUUCAAUCAGUGAACUGAUAACUUUUUCGAUUCAAUGUUCAGUCUGAUUUUGAAAACAUUGAGAAAAAACUCACUCUUAUGGAUUUUUUAUCACCUUACUUUAUUUAUUUUUUCUUAUUUUUAGUUUUAGGAGUAGGAGUAGGAUUAACUUAGUUUAGUUUAAUUUUAGUUUCAGUUGUAAUAUUUAAUUUUUAUAUAAUCUUUCAUUAUUAAUUUUCAUAGUAAUGAGCUUUUAAUUUUUAGUUAAUUUCAAUUUCAAAGUUUAGUUUUAAUUUCUAGCUUUCUUAUGGUUUGAGUUUCUAGAAAUUUUAUUUCUUUGCACCUUUACUUUCUUCUAGACUUUACAUUUCUUUCUUGUCUUCAAUUUCAUCACGUUUAGCACCAAGGGAUAAGUGUGUAGACCCCUUAAAAGACUAAGGGUUUUUCCAGUUGGUUUUUGGGACCACUCGGGUGAUUUUUUUUGAAGUGAGGAGGGGACCCCUUUUCUAUAAAUUCUUUUUGUGAUAAGUAAACCCUUCCUUACUAAGUUGUGGCUCAUCACUUUUAUAAAAAUGGUUUUCUACAAACCAAAUUGGAAAAGAGCAUGUUGAGGUUGUGCUCUAGUUUAGGAUAAAAAAGACUGUAUAUUUUAUAUAUAGAAGUUUGAUGAUGGAAGAGUUUUGUAAUAUGUAAAGAUGUAUCUAAACACUUGAAUGGGCGUAUAGUGUUUAAUAGAAUGAAUAAAAAUGCAAGUUUUAGUAUUUUUGGUUUGGAAAUGUUUUGAUUAUUUUUGGGUAUUCAAAUAUAUAGAUUUAAUUUACUUAUGGUAGUACAAAAAUCAUUUAAUGGUGUUAAGGGGUUUUUAAUGGAGAAAAAACUAAGUUUUAGAUAAUUGAAAAGCACUAAGGUGGUGUUUGUUUUUUGGCUGAAUAGAAAAGGCCAAAUAUUUUGGCUUUUUCUAUUCAGCUAAAAGUAAUUUGUUGACAUCAUCCAACAUAACUAAAGUGAAUUUAUUAUUAAUAGGUUCAGUUUAGUUAUAUUGGAUGGUAUCAAUAAAUUACUUUUAACUGAAUAGAAAAAGCCAAAUAUUUUAGCUUUUUCUAUUCAGCCAAAAAACAAACACCACCUAAGUUAAAAACAAGGGAGAAAAUAGUGCAAGUAAGCUUGGGUAUGGGUGCAUUAAUUGAAGGUGCACAAAGUUAUUUUAUUUUUGAGGUUGAAAAAUAUGCAUUGUUUAAAUUGGAGUGUGCUAGAGAGAUGCACAAUAUUAUUUGGAGGUGUGUUGUGAUUGAAGUACACAAUUUGUGGUUUAUUUAAAAGUGCACUAUUGAAGUGCAAAGGAGAGGUACACAAUUUGAUUUUGAGGUGUGCUAUUUUGAGAAGUGUGUUAUUUGAGUUUAGUUGAAGAUGCAUUAUUUAAGUUACAAGUGUGUAUAAUAGGUGUGCUAUUUUAAUUUGGGGAGGUGCACUAAUGCAAUUUGAGUGUGCUAUUGGACAUUGACACACAAUUUAGAGACUCAAUGCACCAUUGGUGAUCUAGGUGUGCAGGUUGGUUAAGUGUGCUAUGUUAUGCGCUGUGUUAGAGGCAUGUUAAGUGCACUAUGUGUGAUCUAGGUGCACAGGUUGGUUAAAUGCAUUAUGUGGUGUGCUAUAUUGGAAGUGCGCUAUGUGGUGUACUCUGUUGGAGGUGCAUUAAGUGCACUAUUUGGGGUGUGUUGUGUGGUGUUUAUUUAUUCUGUCUAUGGUGUUUAUUUACUUUGUCUUUUGCUUAUUUAUAUUUACAUUGUAAAUAUUUAAAUGAUUGUUCAUUUACUUUAAAUUUAUAAUAUAAAUAACAAAAUACCCAUCAUUUGAAUCCUGUAAAAAUACUUUCAAAAUCUAGUUCUAAGUAAAUUAAAAUUUGAUUUUCCAUUUUUAGUUAUAAAUUGACAAACUUUAUUGAAUUUCUUUGAAAAAAAAAAGUUUGCUUAGGUAAAUUACUAAAAAUUAAAAACUUAGAAAAAAUUAUUUUGAGUAUCACCAACAUGAAAACAAAAAAUUAUGUCACUUUUUAUCUUAAAUGUUGAAACUUUUAAAAAUGGCUUAUUUUUCAUACUCGGUGAAAGUUUUGCACAACUAAGACAACAUACAAGACACAUUUGAAAGCUCUCUACUAGACAAUGUUAUCUAAACUGUAAAAGUAAAAUUUUUAAAUCUAGAAAUUGCAAAAUAAAGUAUUCUUUUAUUGUUAUCAUUUAGACAUAUAUAUAUAUAUAUAUAUAUAUUUAAGUAGUUGUUAUUUGUACAUUAGAAUUAAAAUUUUUGAAUAUGAAAAUAAAUGAUUAAUCCACCAUAUUCGACAUAUUAUAUUAUGAUUCUUUAAUUCACAUUUCAAAUUUUAGAGUUAUGGGUUAACCCCGUUGUAUUAUAAUUAAACUAUUGUUUUAGAAAUUGGGGUGUAACAACACAAUAGGUACAAAGUUGAUAGAACUUAUAACCAAAUGUUUUAUAUAAAUUAUAGAAACCUUGAUUGAGAGGGCUUCCUUGAAAGAUAGUAAAUUCACUUCUCAUCUUGAUUGAAUGUGAAAUUGCUAUCUUAAAUAGAUGAAAUAUGAAGCAACUAAAAUAAGGAUAAGUAAACAAAGGAAGUUGAUUUAAAACAGAUUAAGACGAAGAUAAAAAUUAUUGGAAGUACUAGGUAUUAUGGCUUUAUUAAAAGCUCUCAAAAGAAUUACACAUCCAAAUACAUAUAUAAAAGAAAGUUGCUCAGUGAGAUGCCUUAUGGCUUUCUCUCUAUUACCAAAUCUACCUCAAGAGUUGGGUAUUCAUACGUCUUACCUUAAAAAACAAAAAAUCCAAUAAGUAGUUAUGAUGCCAAAGUCUAAGGAUAAUAUCUUUACAGUAAAAAUAAUUUUAAACAAAGUUUAAUAAUAAACUUGACUUGAGAAAACUUUAUAUAAACCAUGAUAACAUACUUGAAAUAUUUUAAUAGAAACAUGGAAUUAACAGUUAUAUAUAUGUUUGCACUCAUAUGAAUUAUGAAAAUGUAUUAUCCCUCAUGCUCCUCAAUUUGUUCAUAUCAUAACUAGUUAAUUUGAAAUAAUCAACUACUAUGACACACAUCCAUUUCAACAUGAUUAUUAGAUAAAUAGAAAUAAUUACUACAAUUCCUCUCUAUCUCACAACUUGAAGAUCUAUGUAGAAAAAAAAAAAGCAAGAUAACAUUUCAUGUAAAUUUGUUUAUAUUUCAUAAUAACUAUAAUUUGUAAUCAUGGUAAAAUAAUAUCCUCAAAAUAGACUGUUGUACAACAUAGGUUAAUCCCAUUAUAUAAAGAACUUUCCAUUGGGUGUAUAGAUAGUGCUUAUUAGUCUUUAAAUAGCAAACACUGAGGGAUUGUCUAGUUGGCAUUUUUGAAAACAGUUUUGGAAAACAGUUUUUAAGAACGGUUUUUAAGAAUAGAUUUUUGUGUUUUCAGAAACAAAAUUAUGUUUGACAACUAAAUUUUGAAAAAUUUAAAAAAAAAAUGUUUGAUUGAGUUAAUAAAAACAAUUUUUCGAAAUAAGUAAAAAAAAAAAAGUUGUAUUUUUUUUAAUUAAGUUUUUUUUCCAAUAAACUUAACAUUGUAAAUAUAUAAAUAUUUUUUUCACUUACUUUUUUUCUCAUCUUUUGAGUAUUCAUUGGAUAACUCUCCCUUCAUAUCACCUUUCUUAGUCUGAAAAAUAGAGCCACUUCUCUAUAUGUUUUUCAUAAUCCCUCAAAAUAGUCAUGUUUUUCUCUGUUAAUAUAAAGAACAUGUCAUCAUUGUCAUCAUCAAUUGCGACAAGCAAGUUUGCAAUGAUGUUGCAUCAAAACAAAUAUAAGAUCACACUUAUUCUCAUCUAUGAUGUUCUUGAAUGGAUUUUGAUCAUUCUUCUAACUUGCAAAAUUUUAAAAGAAGUAAAGUUUUAAAUUCAAAAAUUGUAAAAUAAAGUAUUCUGCUAUUGUUAUUAUUUGGAAAUAUAUAUUUAAAUAAAAAAAAUUGGUCGUUACUUGUACAUUAAAAUUAAAAUUUUUGAAUAUGAAAAUAAAUGAUUAACUUACCAUAUUACACACAUUGUAUUAUUAUCCUUUAAUUUACAUUUCAAAUUCUAGACUUAUGGGUUAAUCUCAUUGUAUGAUAACUAAAUCAUAGUUUAUGAAAUUGGGAUGUGAUAGCACCAUAGGUACACAGUUGACAGAACCUAUAACCAAACACUUGAUAUCAAUUAUAGUAACCUCGAAUAAAAGGACUUCCUAGAAAGAUGGUGAGUUGGCUUCUCAUCUUAAUAGAUGAUGAAAUCGCUAUCUCAAAUAAGUAAAAUAUAUAGCCACUAAGACAAUGAUAGACAAGGGAAGUUGAUUUAGAAAAAUAUAACGAUUAAGAUAAAAGUAUUGGAAGUACUAGGUCAAAAGAAUUACAUUUCUAAAAACAUAUAUAGAAGAAAGUUGCUCAGCUGGAUGCCCUAUGACUUGCCCUCUAUUAUCGAGUCUACCUUAAGCGGUAGGCAAUCAAACUUCUCACCUAAAAAACAUUAGAGAGUUAUGAUGUGAAAGUUUAAGGAUAAUAUCUUUACAAUAAAAAUAUUUUUAAAUAAAAUUUAACAACAAACUUAACUAUAGAAAGCCUUAUAUGAACUAUGAUAACAUUCUUGAAAUAUUUUAAUAGAAACAUACAAUCAACAUCAAUAUAAAUGUUUGCAAUCACAUGAAUUAUGGAAAUGUAUUAUCAAUUGUGCUCCUUAAUCUGAUCAUAUCACAACUAGUUAAAUUGAAAUAAUAAGUUGCUAUGACACCCAUCCAUUUCAACAUGAUUAUCAAAUAAAUAAGACAUAAUAAUUACCACAAUGACUAUCUCACAACAUAAAGAUCUAUGUAGAAAAAAUAAAAGGGCAAGAUAACAUUUCAUGUAAAUUUGUUCAUAUUUCAUAAUAACCAUAAUUCAUAAUCAUGGUAAAAUAAUAUCUUCAAAAUGGACUAUUGUACUAUUGGGAUUGAACCUCUAAAAACAAAACAUGAUGUAAUAAAGUUAGACUUCACUAUCACUAGGCUAUUCAUUUUCUUUCAUUAACAUUGACUUGCAUGUAUUAGAAGUUGUAUGGAUGAUACAAAUCAUGGGUUCUUUGUAAGUAGAUAAGUUGUUCAUAGCUAGUUCAUGGAUUUAGAGUAUAAUAAAGGCAUAGUGUACUAGCUCAUAAUUGGAAGAAUGACUUGUCUUGGCCAUUAGGAUGUAUUUCCCAUGGUGAGUGUACUAGUGUAUGUCAUACAUAUUGAAUAAGAUUUAUAGUGAAUUAUGAUAUAAGGCUAUCGAUUGUCAUGAUUCACCAAAUUACUAUACUACAUGGACUCUCAACCUUAAGAGGAUAUUAAGCCUAUGCUAAAGUCAAUAGGAGGCUUUGGCCUAUGGAUGGGUGUAGACUCUCUAUUUUGUCUUCUUAGCAUAUUCCAUCUAGGAUUGCCUUCUUACAUCCUUUGAUGUCCUAUUGUACACUUAUGGUAAUUUUCUGAGCUAUUUUUUCCUCUUAAUUUUGUGUGGCAUGAAGAUUAACCAUUAACCUUUAUAUAUUUAAUUUUUUUAGAUAAUAGUGGAUCAUUGAAAUAUUUAUUUACAUUUUUUGUGAGGUCAUAAGAAAUGAAGGUUGGCGAGGACUAUACAACAAACUUAAGUCUUCCUUGCUUGGAAUUGUUGCUUCAUAGGUGAACAAAAUGAUCAUUAUGGUUUCUCAUGUUGGCUAUGGAACAUGGAUCAAAAGGAGAGUCAAAUUUGGAUAUCAUCAUCACCAUACAUUUGGAGAAGGUAGAUGACUUCAGCUAGGAGGAUCAUGUGGCAUUAAAGGCUUCUCCAUUAUGCCAUCACAUGUCAACCAUGAAAGAAGAUUCCAUUAUGAGGCAUCAGCUAGGGUCACCUGUAUUCAUUUCGGGUGUACAUCACAGCCUCACAAGAUCUUUAUUAAGAGGUUUUAGAAAUCUCCAAGAGCUUCAGAAUGAUCAAGGAAGAGUCACACAAUUGGAGUGGAUGAAGUCGUGCAUUUGGAGAGAGUUCUUGGGAGCAUGCACUUGGACCAUUUCUUGGAUUUUUGGAGGGAAACUACAACUGUCUUGAGAAGAUUUUGGAGGUUUCAUUUCUUGUUAGAGAAGGAUAAUGAAUUGAACACUUUUUUUCUAGGGUUCCAGGAGGAUUAAGGGCUUCUAAUAAUCGUCUAGCUCUAUAGCUUACCAUCUUCACACCAACAUUUUUAAGGAAGAUCUCCAUUGAUGCAUAUUGGUUCUGGAAAGCUUCAACAAAGAAUGUGUCAUUCUUUGUAAUAGUGAGCACCAUUUUUUUCAUAGAUGAACAUCACAUACAUCUCAAUAUUGACAUUGAUAAGAGAAUCAUCAGAGAUGUCAUAGCUCAAGAUCAUGAAUUUCUACAUUGAAUCAUCACCGUUACGCGAUGACAAUUAGAGAAGGCAAUUACCGAGCUUGGGAGAAAAUUAUAUUUGCUUCUUCUAAAAACUUGUCACGCCUCGAAUUCUUGGGAACCCAACAUUUGACUCGUGACCCCAAGUCAAAGGUUUGGCCCUAAGGGUUACUCCUAUCCAUGUUGAUAGUCAAUUAUGAUAACUUGAUUUUUCUUGAAUAAAUAAACAUCUAAUCCCAAAUAAAUUUAUUAAGAUUUACUAUAUGAUUUUUUUUUUUCCAAAACCAACCAUCACAUUGCACACAUUGCCUUCGUGGGUGGUGAUUAUAAGUGAAAGAAUAUGAUGCUUAAGGGAAAUAAUAGUUUCCACAUUGCACACAAAGGAAUAUAAAGUAGCUUGGGAGGAUAUUUGGUCAAGGUGUUGUAGAACAUUUUCGGUUAUUAGUAAUGAAAUUAUGGCGAGGGACACCUUAUUAAUAUAUGAUAUUAAUUAGAAUGAAGUUGACAAUUAUUUCAUUAUUCACUUCCUUGAGUUGAAAAGCUUUUGCCUAUCUAGAAGUGUGAUCUAUAACCACCAAUAGUAUGUGAAAUUAUGAAAUUCAAAUUUCAUUUUUAAAUAUAUAGAAGAUAUAACUUUUACCCUUUUAUUUGGUUGUUGACUUGGAAAUAGCUCUAAAAUGCGAUGUUCUUUUGUUUUUUGGUGUUAUUUUAAAGCUUUAAUUUCAUUUUAUUAAUUAUAGUCAAUUGAUUAAUUAAGUAAAUGAAUGUUAUAAAUUUAUAUAUUGAUAUAUUUGAAAAAGUUACAAAAUUCUAGUUAAAUGGAUGUUAUUAAUAGAUUUUUAUUUAUUAGUAUAGAUUUAUUUGUAAAAUGUUUAGGGAAUUGAUGGAUCUUAACUGUAUAUAAUGCUUAUUAACCCGAUAAACUUGAAAACAUAUUUACUAAUUUAAACCUUACCCUAGUUUAAUAGAAUGAGCUUAAAUGGGUUUGGAUUGACCAACUUGGGUUGAAUAUCAAGUUGGGUUGUACUUCGAUAAAUGAAUUUCAUUUAUGGGUUGAGUUUGGGCUUUAAUCAUCAACCCAAUCCGAUAGCCCAAAUUGUAUCUUUAGAUAAUAAAAAAUUCAUGAUGUUUGUUAUUUUUUAUAAUGUAUACUACAUGCAAUAUAGUAUCUCAAAUAAGUUAUAUUUUCAAAUUUUUCUUUAAAUAAAAAAAAUUGGUCAUUACUUGUACAUUAAAAUUAAAAUUUUUUAAUAUGAAAAUAAAUGAUUAACUUACCAUAUUACAUACAUUAUAUUAUUAUCCUUUAAUUUACAUUUCAAAUUCUAGACUUAUGGGUUAAUCCCAUUGUAUGAUAACUAAAUCAUAGUUUAAGAAAUUGGGGUGUGAUAGCACCAUAGGUACAAAGUUGACAAAACCUAUAACCAAACACUUGAUAUCAAUUAUAGUAACCUCGAAUAAAAGGACUUCCUAGAAAGAUGGUGAGUUGGCUUCUCAUCUUGAUAGAUGGUGAAAUCGCUAUCUCAAAUAGGUAAAAUAUAUAGCCACUAAGACAAUGAUAGACAAAGGAGGUUGAUUCAGAAAAAUAUAAAGACUAAGAUAAAAGUUUUUGAAGUACUAGAUCAAAAGAAUUACAUUUCUAAAAACAUAUAUAGAAGAAAGUUGCUCAGUUGGAUGCCCUAUGGCUUGCCCUCUAUUAUCGAGUCUACUUUAAGCGGUAGGCAAUCGAACUUCUCACCUAAAAAACAUGUGAGAGUUACGAUGCAAAAGUCUAAGGAUAAUAUCUUUACAAUAAAAAUAUUUUUAAAUAAAAUUUAACAACAAAGUUAACUUGAGAAAGCCUUAUAUGAACUAUGAUAACAUCCUUGAAAUAUUUUAAUAGAAACAUACAAUCAACAUCAAUAUAAAUGUUUGCAAUCACAUGAAUUAUGGAAAUGUAUUAUCAAUUGUGCUCCUUAAUCUGAUCAUAUCACAACUAGUUAAAUUGAAAUAAUCAGCUGCUAUGACACCCAUCCUUUCAACAUGAUUAUCAAAUAAAUAGACAUGAUAAUUACCACAAUGACUAUCUCACGACAUAAAGAUCUAUGUAGAAAAAAUAAAAGGGCAAGAUAACAUUUCAUAUAAAUUUGUUCAUAUUUCAUAAUAACCAUAAUUCGUAAUCAUGGUAAAAAUAAUAUCUUCAAAAUGGACUAUUGUACUAUUGGGAUUGAACCUCUAAAAACAAAACAUGAUGUAAUAAAGUUAGACUUCACUAUCACUAGGCUAUUCAUUUUCUUUCAUUAACAUUGACUUGGAUGUAUUAGAAGUUGUAUGGAUGAUACAAAUCAUGGGUUUUUUGUAAGUAGAUAAGUUGUUCAUAACAAGUUCAUGGAUUUAUGCUGUAUAAUAAAGGCAUAGUGUACUAGCUCAUAAUUGGAAGAAUGACUUGUUUUGGCCAUUAGGAUGUAUUUCCUAUGGUGAGUGUACUAGUGUAUGUGAUACAUAUUGAAUAAGAUCUAUAGUGAAUUAUGAUAUAAGACAAUUGAUUGUCAUGAUUCACCAAAUUACUAUACUACAUGAACUCUCAACCUUAAGAGGAUAUGCUAAAGUCAAUAGGAGACUUUGGCCUAUGGAUGGGUGUAGACUCUCUAUUUUGUCCUCUUAGCAUAUUCCAUCUAGGAUUGCCUUCUUACAUCCUUUGAUGUCCUAUUGUACACUUAUGGUAAUUUUCUGAGCUAUUUUUUCCUCUUAAUUUUGUGUGGCAUGAAGAUUAACCAUUGAACUUUAUAUAUUUAAUUUUUUUUAGAUAAUAGUGGAUCAUUGAAAUAUUUAUUUACAUUUUUUGUGAGGUCAUAAGAAAUGAAGGUUGGUGAGGACUAUACAACAAACUUAAGUCUUUCUUGCUUGGAAUUGCUGCUUCAUGGGUGACUAACAAAAGGAUCAUUAUGGUUUCUCAUGCUGGCUGUGGAACAUGGAUCAAAAGGAUAGUUAAAUUUGGAAAUCAUCAUCACCAUACAUUUGGAGAAGGGAGAGGACUUCAGCUAGGAGGAUCAUGUGGCAUUAAAGGCUUCUCCAUUAUGCCAUCACAUGUCAACCAUGAAAGAAGAUUCCAUUAUGAGGCAUCAACUAGGGUCACUUGCAUUCAUUUUGGGUGUACAUCACAGCCUCACAAGAUCUUUAUUAAGAGGUUUUAGAAAUCUCUAGGAGCUUCAGAAUGAUCAAGGAAGAGUCACACAAUUGGAGUGGAUGAGGUCGUGCAUCUAGAGAGAGUUCUUGGGAACAUGCAUUUAGACCAUUUCUUGGAUUUUUGGAGGGAAACUACAACUGUCUUGAGAAGAUUUUAGAGGUUUCAUUUCUUGUUAGAGAAGGAUAAUGAAUUGAACACUUUUUUUCUAGGGUUCUAGGAGGAUUAAGGGCUUCUAAUAAUCGUCUAGCUCUAUAGCUUACCAUCUUCACACCAACAUUUUUAAGGAAGAUCUCCAUUGAUGCAUAUUGGUUCUAGAGAGCUUCAACAAAGAAUGUGUCAUUCUUUAUAACAGUGAGCACCAUUUUUUUCAUAGAUGAACAUCACAUACAUCUCAAUAUUGACAUUGAUAAGAGAAUCAUCAGAGAUGUCAUAGCUCGAGAUCAUGAAUUUCUACAUUGAAUCAUCACCAUUACGCGAUGACAAUUAGAGAAAGUGAUUACCGAUCUUGGGAGAAAAUUAUAUCUGCUUUUUCUAAAAACUUGUUACGCCUCGAAUUCUUGGGAACCCAACAUUUGACUCGUGACCCCAAGGGUUACUCCUAUUCAUGUUGAUAGUUAAUUAUGGUAACUUGAUUUUUCUUGAAUAAAUAAACAUCUAAUCCUAAAUAAAUUUAUUAAGAUUUACUAUAUGAUUUUUUUUUCCAAAACCAACCAUCACAUUACACACAUUGCCUUUGUGGGUGGUGAUUAUAAGUGAAAGAAUAUGAUGUUUAAGGGAAAUAAUAGUUUCCACAUUGCACACAAAGGAAUAUAAAGUAGCUUGGGAGGAUAUUUGGUCAAGGUGUUGUAGAACAUUUUCGGUUAUUAGUAAUGAAAUUAUGGCGAAGGACACCUUAUUAAUAUAUGAUAUUAAUUAGAAUGAAGUUGAAAAUUAUUUCAUUAUUCACUUCCUUGAGCUGCAAAGCUUUUGUCUAUCUAGAAGUGUGAUCUAUAACCACCAAUAGUAUGUGAAAUUAUGAAAUUCAAAUUUCAUUUUUAAAUAUAUAGAAGAUAUAACUUUUACCCUUUUAUUUGGUUGUUGACUUGGAAAUAGCUCUAAAACGCGAUGUUCUUUUCUUUUUUGGUGUUAUUUUAAAGCUUUAAUUUCAUUUUAUUAAUUAUAGCCAAAUGAUUAAUUAAGUAAAUGAACGUUAUAAAUUUAUAUAUUGAUAUAUUUGAAAAAGUUACAAAAUUCUAGUUAAAUGGAUGCUAUUAAUAGAUUUUUAUUUAUUAGUAUAGAUUUAUUUGUAAAAUGUUUAGGGAAUUGAUGGAUCUUAACUGUAUAUAAUGCUUAUUAACCCAAUAAACUUGAAAACAUAUUUACUAAUUUAAACCUUACCCUAGUUUAAUAGAAUGAGCUUAAAUGGGUUUGGAUUGACCAAUUUGAGUUGAAUAUCAAGUUGGGUUGUACUUCAAUAAAUGAAUUUCAUUUAUGGGUUGAGUUUGGGCUUUAAUAAUCAACCCAAUCCGAUAGCCCAACUUGUAUCUUUAGAUAAUAAAAAAUUCAUGAUGUUUAUUAUUUUUUAUAAUGUAUACUACAUGCAAUGUAGUAUCUCAAAUAAGUUAUAUAUAUAUAUAUAUAUAUUAUUGUGAAAUGUGCUUGCAAAUAAAAUUAUAGGAAAACGUAUUAUGUGUGCAUUGCAUAUAUUAUAUGUAGUGUUGUUAAUAUUAUCUAUCCAAAAAAAAUUACAAUUUAUUUUUAGGGUUAUUUGUUUAAAAGUGCCAAAAUAAGGUGGUAUUUGGAAAAAUGACCUCUAUCUUUUUAAAACCUGAAAAAUAACCCCUUUUGGACUAAAUUACCCCUGAAAAAAAAAAAACCUUUGAAAUUCAAAAGAGCAAAAAGGAAGAGAAAUUCAAAAGAACAUAAAGGAAGAGAAAGAGAACGAACCAAGGGUUCUCCCUUGAAUGGUAGACUACUGCACACUCUAUGGUCUUCUGAUAUUUUUUUUUUUGUUUUUUUUGUUUUUUUUUUGCAGAUUUGCAUAUUGUUGUUUAUUAUCUGUGUAAAAAGAUUCUAAAAGGAUAUUCAUUUGAUUGAAGUGUGAAUUUUUUUUCUCCAGUUUAUCGAAAAACGCGGGAAAUGAAGAGAACGAAAUGAAGUGGAAAAGAACAGAAAAUGAUCUUGAAAAAAAGAAAAACCUUUGAAAUUCAAAAGAACGGAAAGGAAGAGAAAGAGAACGAACCAAGGGUUCUCUCUUGAAUGGUAGACUGCAACACACUCUAUGGUCUUUUGAUUUUGAUUUUAAUUUUUUUGUGCAAAUUUGCGUGUUGUUGUUGAUUAUCUAUGUAAAAGGAUUGUAAAAGGUUAUUCAUUUGAUUGAAGUGUGAAUUUUUUUUCUCCCGUUUUUGAAAAAACACGAGAAAGAAAAAGAACGAAGUGAAAGAGAACCGAAAAGGAUAUUGAAAAGUAUGUUUAUUACUUUGAAAUAGUUUGUUUUUUUAGAUUAUUCUCUUUGUUCAUUUCAUACAUUCGCUUAAGGUGUGUGUUUUCUUUCUGCAUGGUUUUAGAAAAAAUGUGGGAGAAAGUAAUGGGUUUAUACAUUCACUUUUUGUUAAGCAUAAAUAUAAGGGUUUUUCUUAAAUUUGUUAGCUUAUUCCUCUUUGAUUUUGAACUUUGAAAAUACAUUAGUCUACCAAAGAAGAUAUCUAGUUGAAUUGAAAAAAAAAAAAGUCUUUAAUUAGAUUUCUUUGCUAUUUUAUUUUGAUGUUUUGCUCUAGUUGUUAAGAUUUUGAAGCAUGAUGUUAUGGCAAAUGCUCUGUUUCUAUAGUGUAGAAAUCUAGUAGAAAAGUGACAAAUGUGUUGACCAAUUUGGUCUUCUAAAGAGUUGAAUCAUAAUCAGAGAAAUAAAAUUUGCCCCCAUUUUGAUAUCUCAUCCCUGGUGAUUGGAAGAAACAUUUCAUUUGUCCCAUAGGAAAAUGAAUUUGUUUCCUUAAACCCCCUAGGUAGAGAUAUUGAAGAUGUUGCUGAAGUAUUUUUCCAUGAGCAGUGUUGAAAGAAUGGUUUUGAUUUCUUUUCCAAAAUUCAAAACCUUUUUUUAGAGUAGUUUUGGCUUCUAUCAUAAAGUGAAAACAAUACUUCUUCUAUGAGCAUUCAUGUUAGUUAUUCUCCUUUUGUGUUGCUUAACUUUUAAGUAAUGGAACCAAUAUGAUAUACAUGAAUAGUCAUUCUUUUCUAUUAAUGACAAAAUUGGAGAUCAUUGUAGUCUUUUCCAAUUGGGUGUCUAGUUUUUUAGCAGUUUGGGAAAAAAAAUAUUUUCCUAUUUGUAGUUAUUUUCCCAAUGGAUAGGAAGUUGGUUUAACUGAAAAUCUCAAUUUUCAUCAAACAAUUUGCAUAUCUUGCCUAUCUAUAGUUUCCAUUUUGCUUGAAUAGAUUGAGAAUAAAUCUUUGUUUUCCCUUGGAUGUGAACCAACAUUAACAAACACCCCAUCAAGGUCUAAACCUAUUUUGCUUUUACUAGAUCAUAAGUGACAUUUGCUAAAUUUGGGACCUAGUUGGUCCUGCAAUGCAAACCACAACAUUGAAAUAGUAAUCUCUAACAAAAGUCAUGACAAAGAAUGAUCCUAACUAAGAACUGAAAUAUUAUUCAUAACUAAAAUAUUGAGUUAGAUGAUGCAUAUGCAUAGCCAAAAUACUUCUACCAUAUGCUUUCUAUAAGUAAGGAUGGUCCUUUAACAUUGCUAACAUCACAUUUUUUGUGUUCAUGCAGUGGUGAUUGUGGUAUUUUUUUUUUAUCAAAUUUGUAGAAUACCUGAUGCACAACCAUCCAAUGGAUACACUAAUAGGCAAGCGAAUGGAUUAGUUUCAUGAGAAGAUGACAAUGGAGUUAUUUUUGCAUAAAGAACUUCCUAUGUGAUCCUACUAUUGUAAAUGGAUUGUAAUUGGAUAGCGGAAGAUGUUUUUAUGUAAUGACAUUGAAGUUUUUUGUUUAGCAAAUUCCUAUAUUAUAGCAUGUAUUUAAAUAGUUACAUGUUUUUCAUACAUCCAAAGAAAUGAAUGGUUGCAAUUUUUUUUUUUUUAUAAAUGUGACUGUGUUAUGAUUGUUAACAGGUUUGAAUUUAUUGUAGUAAGCAUAAUAAUAGAAACUUAUAUUUCAAUGUAGAGCUCAUAUUUUUUUUGCUCAAACUUAAUGAGUGUUAAGUUACUUGUAAAAUAAACUUAACCCUAGUGCAGUUCAGGUGAACAUCCUCAAUUAAAACUUAACUCCUACUAAGUUAUUUAUUAAAAAAACUUAACUACAGUUAAGUUCAGGACAUUUGUUUUAAUUCAAACUUAAUGAGUGUUAAGUUACUUGUAAAUUAGACUUAACCCUAGUGCCGCUCAAGUGUAUAUCCUCAAUUAAAACUUAACUCCUAUCAAGUUCUUUAUUAAAAAAACUUAACUUUAGUUUCGUUCAGGUAUUUUUUUUUUUAACUGAAACUUAACCACUAUUAAGUUCUUUGGAAAAUAAACUUAACCCUACUAUAGUUUAGUUGAAUAUCCUCAAUUAAAACUUAACUCUUACUAAGUUCUUUAAUAAAAAAACUUAACUUCACUUUCAUUCAGGUAAGUUUUUAUAACUUAAACUUAACCAUUGUUAAGUUCUUUGUAAAAGAAACUUAACCCUAGUGCAGUUUAGGUGAAUAUCCUCAAUUAAAGUUAUAUAUAUGAAUGAUCUCAACAUACAUAAUGUGUCUGAUCUUAACAUCAAUAAAAGAUUAAAACAUCUCCAAAUAUGUAUGAUCAAAUACUAACGAGACUAGUAUUCCAAAAAAAUAAAGAGUUCACUUGUCAUUUUGAAUGAGUUGGUAUUGAGGAAUGAACUUAAACCUCAUUUUUAAGUUUUAAGUUCAUCAUUCAAUUAAAAAAGACUGAAUCAAAGUACGAUUACAUGUUUUGUGCCCCAAUUCACAAUAUACAAAAAAAAUUACAAUAUCAAAUCUUUUAUAUGCCCAAUCAUCAUUUACAAAAAACAAAAAAAAAAUGACCAUAAAGUUGGCUUAGUGAUAGUUUUAUUCAUUCUUUGAUUGUAAGAGCAAUCUUGCAUGCCUAUUUCAGUGUGUCCACUAUUAUCAUUCUGAUAAUGCAGGGGGGUGGUCAUUUGCAUGACUUUCGAUUAUGACCAUAAUCACCACAUCGACCACACCGCCAUCUAUGCUUACCCUCUCUACCCGAAGGGAUUCUUUCCUUCCUUGGUCUUCCUGUUGGCCGCCUUGUUUUCGGUGGUAAUACAACUCUACUGCUUAUAUCAUCAGAUAUCAUCCAAUCCCUUUGAUGUCUAGGAGGAUAGAUGGACUCAGCAUAUGAAGAUAAUAAUGAGUUCAUUGUGUAAUAUUUGGAGCAUAAAGGAUAACAUGACAUAUGUGCAUAUCUACAAGCAACAAUAGCAUUUGAACAAGGUAUGUGAUCAAGAUCAAAAUGUCGACAUGUGCAUGAAUGAUUAUGUAAAUUUACAUGAUCAUUGACACCAUUAUAUUUAACAUUAUACUCCUUUGAGUUGACUGCUUCAACUUCAUAUGUUGAUGUUGUAUUGUACCUUACACGAAGCUCUCCAUCAGCUCAUGUUGUUAGCUCAAUUGUCAUUGACAAUGCUUGUUGUUUACGGUUUGCAAACCAUUUUUGAAGUAAAUAUCUUAACUCUUCAAUUAACUGCAAAAUAGGAAGAUCUCUUGCAUCUCUUGAAUAUUGGGUCCAUAUUGAUUUCUUUCUCAACCCCAGAUAAAGUAUGAGAGCCAAAAUUAGUGUUGAUGAUUGAUUCAUACCCAUGAUUGCCACUUAUUUUCUUUAUUGUGAUAUAUAAUGGAACUGGCAACUUACCAUCAGUUCAAUUUAAACGAAUAAAAAUUUUCACAUUUCCAUCUCUUCUUAACUGUAUAGGAGUGGAUGGUAUAUUGCCAUUGAAUACAUACUUCAUUGAAAGAUUGUGCUCUGUUGGAUCUACUUUCAAAAUGUGACAAACAAUCUUCAAUAAUUCUUCAUAUGUUGUAGUCUUCUUAAGUUCAAUACCUUUACCUUGGCAACCUUCAAAGUAGUACGUAUUUCCAUUUUGCACCCAAUCUCCUUUAUACAAAAGCAUUAUUCCCACUUCAUCAAUCACUGUAACAAAAAUAAAUAAAUAAAUUGAAUUAUUAAUACAAAAAAACAAUAUUAAAAUAGUAGUUAUUUGGAUAAGUAACUCAAUCCCGCAAAGUUGUCAAUUAACAUGUUGAACUAUACUAAACUAUCUUCAAGUUUUAUAUAUAAAGAACUUAACACUAGUUACGUACAGUUUUUACAUGUUAAAUAUGAACUUUACUCUUUUCAUACAAAUCUUUUUAACAAAAAAUUUCACUCAUGUUUACUCUAAAAUUUUCAUUUUUUUCCUUACAACCAAAUAAUGUUGAGAAUAGCAAAACUAAGGUAAUUUUUUUCCCAAAUGGGUUUACAUACCUUUAUUCGACCUCGCCAUAUGUUUUUCUUUAAAUCUACUCUGCUUCUAUUACCUCAAUUUUGAUGGUGGGUUAUAGUAAUGGUGUAUAGGGAUGUACUCACAAUGUUAGUGAGAGAUAUGCAUAUAGAUGUACUACUAAUGAGAGAGGUAAAACUAAAAUGUUUUGCUUUUGGAGAGAUAUCAUGUCUUUGGUGGGAGACUUACUCUUAUUUGUUUCUCUACUCUUUUCUGCUUCUCUUCACUCAGUUUUAUUGGUGGGUUACAGAGAUGGUGUAUAGGAAUGUACUCACAAUGUUGGUGAGAGAGAUGUAGUACCAAUGAGAAAGGUGAAACUAAAGUUUUCUACUUUUGGAGGGAUAUCAUGUAUUUGGUGGGGAUCUUAUGCGUUUUUUGAAGGAAAUAAAUAAGGGUAAAAAUGUCCAAAUUAGGACAUCUCUCAAAACAAUUAACUGGUGAGGUUACUUUUACAAUUUUACUUUUAUUUUGAGUCACCUAUCCAAAUAACCCUUAUUUUUAAUUAAAUCAGGGCGAACAAUAAUCUUGAAUGUUUUAAGUUGUGCGAACCGACUCUUAAGGCUACAUUUCGGUCAGCAAUAUAAACAAGGGUUUUGCCCAGAGCUAUGAAUGGUGUAACGUAUCUAUGUAAAAGGCUAGUCAUGAGACAGAUGACAAUAUAUGACAUAUCUAUUCUUCCAUUUUCCACCUCAUUACAAAUGGCAGCACUCAUCACAGACGAAUAACUAUCAUCAAAGACUGGGGACCUAAACUAACAUAGUCUUAUACAUGGAAGAAAGUAUCGGAAGUUAUGAAAACGAUAUUUCUGUUUUGGAGAAAUUUCAGGCGAUAUUUUGUUAAGGGGAAAAUGUUUGGGGUUCAGGCCACCUUACCACCAGGGCAAGUUUCCCUCUUGUUAAAUAAAAGACACUAAAAAUAUAUAUUCAAAAUUGUCAUAUAAAGAAAAUAUUAAAAAAAUAUUUUAAAGAGCAAAUUAAUUAUAAUUAUUUUAUAAUUAAAUGAAAAAAUUUCUUUUAAUUGAUUGCCAAAAAUAUAAAAAUUAUCAUGAUAAUUUCCUUCAUAGUAUUUUUAAUAUCAUUAAUAGAUUAAUUAAAUAUUAAAAAAAUAUUCAUAUAUCACAAUUUAUUUUAUACAUUUAAUACAAUUGAAUUAAAUGAAUCAUAAUUUUAAUAUUAAUAUAUAUUUUAAAAUUAAAUAUAUUAUAAUCAAAUAUCAUAAUAUGUGAUCUAAUUUAAUAAUAAAUAUACAUUUAUAAAAUUCAUAUUUUUAUCGAUGCAUAUGAUAUUAUUAUCAAAUAUGAUAAAUUAUAUUAUACAUAUAUCAAAUUCUUUAAUAAAACGAUUUUAAAAUAUAUAUUAUAUUUUUAUGAAGUUUUUCUUAUAUUUUUAUAAAUUUUGAUCAAUUUUAGGCUUAUUGAUAUUUUUUUUCCAAAAUAUCCAUCAAUAUAUCCGUAAAAUCGAAAUACCGACGAUAUAUUCGUGAUUACCGAUAUUUUUAUCCUUGGUCUUAUACGCCUACCAAACGAAAACUUCAGGCUUUAUUAAUGGAGUCCUCCCAAGCUAAUAGCGCUGUGAAGCAGACACAUGACUAGAAACCAUAGUCAUCCAACCACACACAUUUAAAAUCAACAAGAGUAUUUAUUAAAGAGAGACCUAACUUUACUCAAGCUUUGUAACACACCUCCCCAUCACAUUUCCAUCCUUCUCCGGGACUUGCCUUCUCCAUCUCAUCGUCUUUGGUUCCUUUGUCUUCUUCCAGUGCGCACUUGGGGUGGAGAUCGAAAUCACAUUCUUCACAAUAGAAUGACCACAAGUGUCCCUGCUUCUCACACCCAUUACAUCCAUAAACGCGACGCUUAGUGAGCACAAGCUCAUGCUCUUCAUGAAGGGCAUGUUUCAUCUUCUCAGGCCACCCCUUUGCCAUCUCCUCAUACUGCGCCUCGAUCUCCUUUAUAUGUUCUUCAGUGAAAGGAUAAGCAUCAGCCCCAUGAAUCAUAACAAGAUUUCUGGCUUCUGUUGUGACAGUCCGGCCAGUUGGCCCAAUGGCUAUGAGCGAGGGGAUGCCAUGGACCUUGAACGUGCGACUCAGGGAGGCCUUCCUUUUAUCCCCAAACGGAAGUGCCAGCCAUGGCAUACCUGAAAAGAAUUCAUCGAAGGAGGUCUGGUCCUUGUCACUAGAGAUGAAAAUCACUUCGAAUGCUUCAUCCUUUGUCUUAAUCUUCUGGUAUGCUUCAAUAAGUUUUGGUAGAAAAGCACGGCAUGGGGGGCACCAAUGUGCUGAGAAUAUAGGAGAUGUUCUUCCCCACUAGAUCAGACACGGGAAUCUGAANNNNNNNNNNNNNNNNNNNNNNNNNNNNNNNNNNNNNNNNNNNNNNNNNNNNNNNNNNNNNNNNNNNNNNNNNNNNNNNNNNNNNNNNNNNNNNNNNNNNUACCUGCGAGGAUUUGAGAUUGGAGAGUAGCAGAGGAAAAUAGGGCUUUUUAGGGAUUCUCUCGCUGGAAGACACCUUCAGAAAAGGGUUCUUGAUGCCCGAGAGAGAAGUGGGUGCCUUUUUUAUUUUUUUUUAUUUUUAGAUUUAGGGGAGAUAAAAAAAUAAAAAAUAAAAAAUAAAAAAAACAUGAGAACAAUUUUCUAUAAAUAAUUAUUAAUUUUCAACUUUUAUUUGGAUUAUUAAAUAAAUUUAUAUUAAUAAAAAAAGUUGUUAUCACAUUUUUUAAUAAAUUUUAAAAAUUAAAUCUCAAAUAAGAUAUUUUAUAUAAAUUAAUUUAAUUUAUCAUUUAAAAUAUAAUAAAAUAUAUAAAAAAAUCAUGAGAACAAUUUUCCACUCUCUAUAUAAAUAAUUAUUAAUUAUCAACCUUUAUUUUUAUUAUUAAAUAAAUUAAUAUUAAUAGAAAAAGUUAUUAUCACAUAUUUUUAAUAAAAUUUUAAAAAUUAAAUCUCAAAUAAGAUAUUUUAUAUAAAUUAAUUUAAUUUUUCAUUUAAAAUAUAAUAAAAUAUAUUUUAAUAAAAAUAUUUUAAAAAUUUUAAAAUAAAUACUGUCUUCAACAAGAUGAACUCCCUUCAUCUAAUAAUAUAUUGAAACUACAUCGAUAUCUUUCUUAGUAUAAAGACUAUUGCAAUCUCAUAUUUCUUAACUCAAUUUUAACUUUAUACACUUUCAAAAUUCAUAUAUAUUAUUUUUAAAAUUCAAAUAUCGAAUCUACCAAUAUAUCUCUAUUUACGAUAUUUUUCCUCUUAAUUAUAUAUAUAUCAAUUACACUUACAAGAUAACUUUAAAAUGUGUAUUCUUACUUAUGUUAUCAUUUUUUGAAGUUUUUUCAAACAUUCAUAUUAAUUUUAAAUAAUUUUCACUCCACCGAUAUUUAUGAAAAAAUAUCCACCGAUAUUUCUCCGAUAUUUCCGAUAUAUCCGUAAAAUUGAAGUACCGAUAUAUCUGUAAAAACCGAUAUUUCAAUCCUUGAUCAAGAGAAACAAUAUUUCAAACCCAAUCUAAUAAGUCCAAACAAAUAACAAUUUAACAAUAGACCCAAAUCCAAAUAAACAAUAUGCAAUUGAUAUAAUCUAAAUAUUCUCAAAUUAAUCACCAAAUACAAUAUGCCCAUAAACCCAAAUUAACAAAUUUUAAAUUAAUUCACUAACAAUAAAUUAAAUCAAAUUAUGUAUUAAUCUACCAACAACAAAUUAACUCAAAAUUUCAUAAUAAUUGAAUAAUCCAAAUUUCAUAAACAACAAUUACUACUAAAAUAAAAUAAAAUAACAACAAUAACAAUAAUAAUAAUAACAAUAAUAAUAAUAACAACGAGAACGGAUGAGAUGGGAAGGGGGUUGCCGGCCGCCAGUGGAGCGAGAGAAAAAAUGGAGAAAAAAAAAGAGGGAAGGAGAAAAGGAAAUGGGAGGCUCGGCCACCUAAAAAAUGGAAAAGAAAAGAAAAAAAACAAAAUCCAAAGGGAGAAAUGAGAAGAGAGAGAAGAUAGAAGAUAUGAAAGCGUGGGUGUGUGGCCGGCUUGGAAGGGAAGUGGAGUGUGGGGAGAGAGAAGGAAAAAAAAAAAAUCCAUGGGCCAUGUGUGUCUUCGGGUGGAGAAAAGAGAGUAGAAGAAUGAGGGGCCGAAGAAUGGAGGUGGGGGCGGCAGAGAAAAGGGUGGAAAAUAGGAAAAAAGAGAGAGAAAAGAGGAGAAAAAACGACAGAGGAAAAAGGAAAGAGAAGAGAGGAGGAAAAUCUUGGGACAAAAUGAUGGGGGGAAAAGAAAGUGGGGGGAAGAAUGGGAAGAGAGGAGGGCCGAAGAAUGGAGGUGGGGACGGCAGAGAAAAGGGUGGAAAAUAGGAAAAAGGAGAGAGAAAAGAGGAGAAAAAGCGGCAGAGGAAAAAGGAAAGAGAAGAGAGGAGGAAAGUCUUGGGACAAAAUGAUGGGGGGAAAGAAUGGGAAGAGAGGAAAAUCUUGGGACAAAUGAUGGGGGGAAAGGAAAGUUGGUGGGUGGGGAGGUGAAAGAAUGGGAAGAGAGAGAAGAAGAAGGUGGGGUGGUUGGGAAAGAGAGAGGAGAGAGGAGAGAGAAAAGAAAAAAAAUAAAAAAUAAAAAAAUAAUAAAAUAAUAGUAAUAAUAAUAAUAAAAUAAAAGUAUUAAUAAUAAAAUAAAAUAAAAUGAUAUACAAAAUAAUAAAAUUUAUUAAAUGGUGAGUGAGCCAAGGGCUCAAAAUUAACGUAAAGAUAAAAUUCGGAUAAAUUUUGGGGUUUAUACAUGUAUUCAUCUUCCAACAACCAAAUCUUUCAUUUUUUUUUUUCAAAAAAAAAAAAAAAAUUAAAGUUUUAGGGUUAAAUCACCUUACCUUAAAUCCAAAAAUCUAACCAUUGAAACUAAAAUAUGAUUUUGUAGGAAUGUUCAUCGUGUUGAAUAGAAUAUUCUUAUAAAAUUUGAGGCAAAACGAAGAUCGUUUGAUAGGUUGACUAACGUACCUAAGUUGAUAGCCCUUUUUCUUCCGCUCCUAGUUGACCUUUUCUUUCUUUCUUUUAUUAUUUCAACCGACUACUUCAUUUUAUAUAUAUAUAUAUAUAUAUAUAUAUAUUAAUACAACUUUAAAAUACCAUGCUUAUCUCUUUUAAUAAAUUAAACCAUUAUCCUUUAUUUCAUAUUCCACAAUUAUAAAUUAUACUUCAUUUAUGAUUUUUUGUCUUAUAAAAAAUAUUAUUGUAUUCUUAAUUAAAUUUGCUACAAACUUGAUUUUCAAAAUAUAUAAUUUGACUUUAAUUAUCUAAAAUAUUUUGACUUUAAAAUUCACUUAGGACAUGAUUCUAUUGACUAUUAAAAAAAUCAAUUUCAUAAAAUCUCUUAAACAUAAAAUAAUUUUUCGACAUACAAUAAGUUGAAAUUCAUAAUAAUAUUUAACCCCUUGAUUUUAUCAAUAUUUAUUUAUCAACAAAAAUUUAAGCAUUAUUCUAAAACUUAGUUCUAUCAAUUAUUUAGUCAUUCAAUUCAUAAUAAUUAAAUUAAUUCUCAUAAUAUGCUUAAUAUUCAAAUUGUCAAAAUCUAAUCUCAAUUAUUUGAUGAUCAAUUUUUUUUUCAAAUUUAAAUUUAAUUUAUAAAAGUCUUACUUUUUACAUAUGACGUGGUAGAAUUUUCAAACUAUUAAUUUUUCUAAAAUAUCUCAUAAUUAAUAUUAACAUCGUGGAUCUUAACUAUUUUUUUUAACCAUUUGACUAACAAUUUUAUAAAAACUUUUCUAAUCCUGAAUCUUAGUGUCAUUAAAAACCUGGGUAUUACAAAACUAGAGAUCACCUCUGCAUCUGGCACUAGUGGUGCUCCACCCCAUUACAAAUGGCAACUCUCAUCACAUCACAAAUGAUUAAUUAUCAUCAAAGAUUAAGGACCUAUAGUAACAUAGUCUUAUACACCUGCCAAAGAAAACUUCAGGCUUUAUUAACGGAGUCCUCUCAAACUCAUUGUGCUAUUAAGCAAACACACAUGGCUAGAAACCAUAGUCAUCCAACCACACACAUUUAAAAUCAACAAGAGUAUUUAUUAAAGAGAGACCUAACUUUACUCAAGCUUUGUAACACACCUCCCCAUCACAUUUCCAUCCUUCUCCGGGACUUGCCUUCUCCAUCUCAUCGUCUUUGCUUCCUUUGUCUUCUUCCAGUGCGCACUUGGGGUGGAGAUCGAAAUCACAUUCUUCACAAUAGAAUGACCACAAGUGUCCCUGCUUCUCACACCCAUUAC
rnacentral:lncRNA from 1 species